GCAUUGUACUGCGAAACUGCGAAUGGCUCAUUAUAUAAGUUAUCGUUUAUUUGAUAGCAUACUUCUACUUGGAUAACCGUGGUAAUUCUAGAGCUAAUACAUGCUAAAAAUCCCGACUCCGGAAGGGAUGUAUUUAUUAGAUUAAAAGCCAAUGCCCUCUGGGCUCUUUGGUGAAUCAUGAUAACUGUUCGAAUCGCACGGCCUUGCGCCGGCGAUGGUUCAUUCAAAUUUCUUCCCUAUCAACUUUCGAUGCGAGGGUCUUGUCCUCGCAUGGUUACAACGGGUGACGGAGGGUUAGGGCUCGACCCCGGAGAAGGAGCCUGAGAGACGGCUACUACAUCCAAGGAAGGCAGCAGGCGCGCAAAUUACCCAAUCCCGACACGGGGAGGUAGUGACGAAAAAUACUGAUACAGGGCUCUUUUGGGUCUUGUAAUUGGAAUGAGUACAAUUUAAAUCCCUUAACGAGGAACAAUUGGAGGGCAAGUCUGGUGCCAGCAGCCGCGGUAAUUCCAGCUCCAAUAGCGUAUAUUAAAGUUGUUGUGGUUAAAAAGCUCGUAGUUGAACCUUGGGCCUGGCUGGCCGGUCCCCCUCACCGGGUGCACUGGCCCGGCCGGGCCUUUCCCUCUGUGGAACCCCAUGCCCUUCACUGGGCGUGGCGGGGAAACAGGACUUUUACUUUGAAAAAAUUAGAGUGCUCCAGGCAGGCCUAUGCUCGAAUAGUUCAGCAUGGAAUAAUGGAAUAGGACGUGUGGUUCUAUUUUGUUGGUUUCUAGGACCGCCGUAAUGAUUAAUAGGGACAGUCGGGGGCAUCAGUAUUCAAUUGUCAGAGGUGAAAUUCUUGGAUCUAUUGAAGACUAACUACUGCGAAAGCAUUUGCCAAGGAUGUUUUCAUUGAUAAGGAACGAAAGUUAGGGGAUCGAAGACGAUCAGAUACCGUCGUAGUCUUAACUAUAAACUAUGCCGACUAGGGAUCGGACGAUGUUAUCUUUUGACUCGUUCGGCACCUCUCGAGAAAUCAAAGUGCUUGGGCU
rnacentral:rRNA from 1 species